GUUCUCGAUCCUCUCUAUCUUUCUCUCAAAAUAGCUCACUAUUCUCUUAGCCCUCUCACUACUCACUCUCAUCUUCUCCUCUCUCGAGUUUCACACACAUGGCACCACACCCACACACACCAACCUUCUCUCUCUCGGACCUCUUUACCUCUUUCGUUCCUUUUCUCCCUUUGCAAACUAGGGUUGUAGCACCAUGGAAACCGGUGCUAAAAUUUGGUGAAAUUCAGCAAGCAUCAACCUCUGAUUAGGUGAAGGUUUAGCUUGAAAACAACUCGGAGGGAUUUUCCCCAGAUUCCGGCAUGGAAUCUCGUGACUUUCAGGCAGUUUUCCAGCCAACUCCGGCCACGGCUGGACCAAAGUUUGGUGCAUUUAUUACAACAUUAUUGUCUUCGCUAGUUUGCACAGCUUUUCGACGGCGGAGUAUCUGUGAGUGGACCCUUCUAAAAUGCAUAUUUUACUAUUAGAAAUGCAUACAUGAAAAGCAUGAUUUUAUGUCUACAUUUUAUGAAAUGUUUAUGAGUAAAUUGGUUUCACGCUUUAUGAAUUAUCAUGCUUAUUCGAUUUUACGUUCUUUGUGGUAUAUAUGAUUGAUGACUAUAUACCUACUUAUGAACAUGGUUUUACGAUAUGAUGUUUUAGUUACUGAGCUCCGAUUUGAGAUAGAUAUAUAUAUAUAUAUUAGAAAUAUUAUGUUAAUGUUUUUAUGUGCUUACUUAGCAGUUACUCAUACGAUACUGCCUAUGGGCGAAGGAUACUACAUUGGCUUCAGUCGGAAGAUACUUAUAUAGUAUAUUUGGCUUUGACAAGGAGAUGUAGUGCCUUCGGGCGAAGGAAGGUAUAUGUGUGUGUGUGUGUGUGUGUGUGUGUGUGUGUGUGUGUGUAUGCCUUGUGCUACUACUACUAAGCACAUUAUAUACGAUAUAUGUUUUAUGAAAGGUUUUAUGGCAUGUUAAGGUUUUCGGAAAACCUAUUACAUAUUAUACUAUUGAGUUUUCAUAAACUUUGGGGGUUAUUACGUUGAUGAAUAACUGUUUCAAUAUUACUUAUAUAUCAACUUAGUCCACUCAUGUUUUUAUUUUGCGCCCCCUCAGGACUUAGAAUAGAGACGUACAAUCCUGAUGUCAAGGCACUCCUGCAUCGGCAUCUUUGAGUCCUCUCGGUGUAGGACCCCAUCUCUUUGUUCAUUCAAUUUUAUAUUAUUCCUUUUUAGUGUCUCAUAUUAGUUGUAUAUUCUGAAUACAUUCCACAAUUGCAUAUUUAUUAUAAUUAAAUAUACAAGUUUCAUUUA